rnacentral:rRNA from 1 species
UGGGGAAUUUUGGACAAUGGGCGCAAGCCUGAUCCAGCCAUGCCGCGUGCGGGAAGAAGGCCUUCGGGUUGUAAACCGCUUCUGUCAGGGAAGAAAUCUUCUGAGUUAAUACCUCGGGAGGAUGACGGUACCUGAAGAAUAAGCACCGGCUAACUACGUGCCAGCAGCCGCGGUAAUACGUAGGGUGCAAGCGUUAAUCGGAAUUACUGGGCGUAAAGCGUGCGCAGGCGGUUUUGUAAGACAGAGGUGAAAUCCCCGGGCUCAACCUGGGAACUGCCUUUGUGACUGCAAGGCUUGAGUGCGGCAGAGGGGGGAUGGAAUUCCGCGUGUAGCAGUGAAAUGCGUAGAUAUGCGGAGGAACACCGAUGGCGAAGGCAAUCCCCUGGGCCUGCAUUGACGCUCAUGCACGAAAGCGUGGGG